rnacentral:rRNA from 1 species
UACUUAGUGGCGGACGGGUGAGUAACGCGUGGGUAACCUGCCUUACACUGGGGGAUAACACUUAGAAAUAGGUGCUAAUACCGCAUAAGCGCACGAAGCCGCAUGGAUUUGUGUGAAAAACUCCGGUGGUGUAAGAUGGACCCGCGUCUGAUUAGCUUGUUGGCGGGGUAACGGCCCACCAAGGCGACGAUCAGCAGCCGGCCUGAGAGGGUGGACGGCCACAUUGGGACUGAGACACGGCCCAAACUCCUACGGGAGGCAGCAG